AGAGUUUGAUCAUGGCUCAGAUUGAACGCUGGCGGCAUGCUUUACACAUGCAAGUCGAACGGCAGCACGGGGCAACCUGGUGGCGAGUGGCGAACGGGUGAGUAAUACAUCGGAACGUGCCCAAUCGUGGGGGAUAACGUAGCGAAAGUUACGCUAAUACCGCAUACGAUCUACGGAUGAAAGCGGGGGAUCGCAAGACCUCGCGCGAAUGGAGCGGCCGAUGUCAGAUUAGGUAGUUGGUGGGGUAAAGGCUCACCAAGCCAACGAUCUGUAGCUGGUCUGAGAGGACGACCAGCCACACUGGAACUGAGACACGGUCCAGACUCCUACGGGAGGCAGCAGUGGGGAAUUUUGGACAAUGGGCGCAAGCCUGAUCCAGCCAUUCCGCGUGCAGGAUGAAGGCCUUCGGGUUGUAAACUGCUUUUGUACGGAACGAAACGGUCUGCCCUAAUACGGUGGGCUAAUGACGGUACCGUAAGAAUAAGCACCGGCUAACUACGUG
rnacentral:rRNA from 1 species